AUAAGGUCUAUACAGUAGGGGGCGCUAUUACACAUCUUCUGAUAGAGUGCAGAAUCUCCGAAUCAAAACACAGGUGAAGAAGAAGCAGAAACAGCUAGAAGAUGUUUGGUUUUUUUUUAACACAGAAGAUUGCUAACGCAAAUGUAAAAUAGCAUGAUCCUCAAACAUUAAACAACAUAAUCAGACCGGCAGCGCUGCAGAGGACGUACACAGACAGCAACAAUAACCUAAAUCCUUCUCAUUUCCCAUGAGAAAUAAGGUGUCAUUUUGGUUUCAAUCUGCUGUUUUCUUGACAUUUACAGAUAAGUGCACGUCAGAGAGCAUCGUGUACCAGAUAUUUCCUUGUUAUUGUAAUGCAGACCAAACCGAACAGCACUUUUCACCUGGCUCUGUCUGGAUGGGGUAGACUGAGGAGGAUGAGAGACUUUGGGCCAUGCGGAACUCAGUGCCUCCUCAGUACGUUGCUCUCUCAGUGGAUGACCAGAG